GUUGCACCUAAACCCAAAGAAUCACUGUUUCUUGAAGUGGUGGUUUAAACAGAGGUGCAAACAGCAAGCGAAUCUCAUUACUUUUGGUGGCUGUGGCUGUGCUCCUUAAAGUGAACUUAGAGGCUCUACAUCC
ensembl:snoRNA